GCGCGGGCGCUCACGCGCGCCAAGGACUUAUGGUCUCUAGGUCUCAAGGAGCCCGAAAGGCUGCCAACCGCUGUCGCUUCACAAUGAGCGUCUGAAGCGCUGGGGGUGGAGCCGAAGAAGCAGAGAGGAAGGAAGAGCCGGCCGCCCCGCCUAGGCCGCCGGCGUAGCGUCGGGAUACCUCCGCAGUCGUGUGAGAAGUCACGACGAAGGGUACAGUUCUUCCGCCAUUUGGGGGCCCAUGGGCGGAGUCUUGAGUGCAAAAAGAAAUCCCGCGGCUAGACCAGGGACUUAUCCUAGGCUUGUGGUACGUGGCAUGGGGCCCUUAUCUGCUUUACAUAAAAGACUGAUAGGCAUUAAAGUUAUCAGUUUGAGUAUGCUGAUCUUUGGGGAUAAAUCUAUGCCUAAUUCUAAAUUAUUUUAAUGAUUUUCAACCAAAUGGUUUCUCCAUGCCCUAGGAUGAACCCUUAAACUAUAGUAACAGAGACUGAAGGCCAUAGUUCCUAGGGUCUAGUUCAAAAUCCUCCACCCAACUCCGCAAUGAAGGCAGCUUUCAUUCAUUCAAAUUAGUUGGGCAUUAGGACAUUAGGCUAGGUGCCUCGGAUGUAACUAAUUAAACCACUUCUUGCUCUCAAGGAGUUCAAACUAAUGGUAGAUUCAGAGAAUUAGAUGAGAUCUAUUAGGUGAAGCACAGGGCACUAUGAUAGUACAGCUAAUUCAGCUUUGGGUGAUGGAUUUCUAGGCAGGGGAAAUAGGAUACGACAAGGUAAGAAAACUUCAUUAUGUCGAGUAUAAGAUAAGAGGGAGGAAUUUAAAAAAAAAAAAAAACACAAAACUGGAAAGGUAAGUAACCAAGGACCAGAGUUUAAAAGAGAUGUGGAGGGACUUCCCUGGUGGUCUAGUGGCUAAGACUCCACUCUCCCAAUGCAGGGGGCCCGGGUUCGAUCCCUGGUCAGGGAACUGGAUCCCACAUUCCACAACUAAAGAUCCUGUGUGCCACAACGAAGAUCUGUGGUCCACAACAAAUACGUGGUGCAGCCAAAUAAAUAAAUAUUUUUUAAAAUAAAUAAAAGGCACUUCCCUGGUGGCACAGUGGUUAAGAAUCUGCCUGCCAAUGCAGGGGACACGGGUUUGAGCCCUGGUCUGGGAAGAUCCCACAUGCCGCAGAGCAACUAAGCCUGUGUGCCACAACUACUGAGCCCGCGUGCCACAACUACUGAAGCCCACAUGCCUAGAGCUCGAGCUCCACAACAAGAGAAGCCACCACAAUGAGAAACCCGUGCACCGCAACGAAGAGUAGGCCCUGCUUGCCGAAACUAGAGCAACUAGAGAAAGCCCGCGCACAGCAACGAAGACCCAACCCCCCCAAAAUUAAUUAAUUAAUUAAUUAUUUUUUAAAAAGAGACAUGGACAUCAUCCUCAAAGCAGUGGGGAGCCUUUUACAGAAAAUGAAGAGAACAUAUUUGCAUUGUUAAGGAUUACUGUUUCUUUGCAAAGUGGAGAGUGGAGUGGAGUGAUGGGUCUGUGGUCUUAAUCCUGGCAAAACUUUCAACAUGUCAUCCUCUCUUCACUCAGGCAUUAGCAUUGGAACUCCUCCAGCUCCCAACUCUCCCCUGAACAUGCACACACUUAGCUAAAAGUCUACCUUACUCUUUGGGAACUAUUCCUUCGCCCCACCUCUCUCCUAGCUUUUUAGAGUGUUAGGUUCCCUCCCUCUGUGUUUGGCCAGCAAUUUUCUCCACUGUAUUCUGUGAGCUCCCUUUCGUUCUGUUUUCCUGCUGGUAUCAGCGCCCUCAUGGCUGGGAUCUUAUUCUUGCUGCUCCUUCUGUGACACCUGGCACAAUGCAGGCAGUCAAUUAAACACCUAUGAAGUGGAUGGAUCCAAGAGGUAUUUUGAGGACCAUGUCUCCUGGUUGUCUGAAUAACUGUCUAGUUCUUUCCUGGCAUUAUGCCACCUCCCCGGCCUCGUUAUGGGCACUCCUGUCUCCCCACCCACAUUCUGCUCCCACACUCUGUUUUGUCUCAGCCUGUUAAACUCCCAUUUCCGCAACAUGCCUUGCCCUUAUUCAGCUCUGCCUGUACAUGUGCUGUUUCUUCACCUACUUCUCAUUCUUCAAGCUCAGGUGUCAGUCCUUUCGAACAUCUUGUUAUUGACUCCCUCCUCCAGGUUCCCAGAACACUGUGAUUUUCUUUUCUUUUUUUUUUUGGCUCCCCUUUCCAUUGGAGCCUAAGGUCAUUAAGGUCAGGGACUGUAUUUUACUCAUUUCUCUAUACUUCCUGUCUAGCUCAGUGGCUCGCACACAGUCAUUCAAUAAAUUGAUAAAUGAAUGAAAUGUCUUAUUACCUGCAGUUUAGAGAUUAUAUCACUGUGAUUUGCUCUGGAGUGAUCUCCAGGGUAUACUGUUAAGUGAAGAAAGCAAAGAGUAUAAACUAUGCUUCCUGUGUGCAAGGAAGAAGGGGAAAUAAGAAAACAAAUAUAUCUGCAAAUUCUUCCAAAGAAAAACACAAGAAGGGUAAACCAAAAACUAAUAAAAUUGGGCACCCAUGAGGGGUGGGAGAAGAUGAGGGUUCCUUGGUUGUUGGGUUACACCCCUCUUUUUGAGGGAAACAACAGUGCCCUGAAUGGGGAAAGGGAGACACUUCUUUGAGCCUUCUCAUAUAGUUUUGACUUUUCAAAUAAUGGUCAACAUAUUUAAAAAAUUAAAUCAACAGAAACAGAGUACGUAAAAUCUGAAUACAGACAUAAAUAAAUGAACCCAACACUAUUUUAGAUAAGUAAAAAUAACACCCUUGGGCUUCCCUGGUGGCGCAGUGGUUAAGAAUCCGCCUGCCAAUGCAGGGGACAUGGGUUCGCGCCCUGGUCCAGGAAGAUCCCACAUGUCGCAGAGCACCUCAACCUGUGCACCACAACUACUGAGCCUGCACUAUAGAGCCCGUGAGCCACAACUACUGAAACCUGCAUGCCACAACUACUGAAGCCCGCGCACCUAGAGCCUGUGCUCCACAACAAGAGAAGCCACGACAAUGAGAAGCCUGCGCACCGCCAACGAAGAGUAGCCCCUGCUCGCCGCAACUAGAGAAAGCCCACCUGCAGCAACGAAGAGCCAACGCAGGCAAAAAUAAAAAACAAAUAAAUUUAUUUAAAAAAAUACCCUGAAGGGCAAAAAAAUAGAACUAAUUCAAGUAACUUUUAAGCACCUUCUGCUAAAGAAAAAAAAUAUCUGCAAACCUUGAAUUCUUCUUAAGUCAGUUUGCUCUAGUAGUAAGGGCAUGGCAAUUCGGAAAUUAUUUUGGGUGUAUGGUAGGAUUGAGCACAUGAGUAAAUAUGCAGACUGGUUGGGAGCGUUCUCACUGAGGAAGUAGGGAGAAGCAAAUGUGGAGUGAGAGACGUGAGCAAAAACUGUGGGGAUUGGAAUGGGAAGCAUCAGUAUAAAUUUUUUUUAAUUUAUUCAUUUUUAUUUAUUUUUAUUUUUGGCUGCGUUGGGUCAUCGUUGCUGUGCACGGGCUUUUUCUCUAGUUGGGGUGAGCGGGGGCUACUCUUCGUUGCGGUGCAUGGGCUUCUCAUUGCGGUAGCUUCUCAUUGCAGAGCACGGGCUCUAGGCAUGCGGGCUUCAGUAGCUGUAGCACGCGGGCUCAGUAGUUGUGGUGCACAGGCUUAGUUGCUCCGCGGCAUGUGGGAUCUUCCCGGACCAGAGCUCGAACCCAUGUCCCCUGCAUUGGCAGGCAGAUUCUUAACCACUGCGCCACCAGGGAAGCCCCAGUAUAAAAUUUAUGGGAAAAAAUUAGGUGGAUAGACACACUGAUACUUACACAAGUUCCCAGAUCUUGUUUACUAAAUAUUCCACUGAAAGAAACCAGGGCUCCUUGAAGAAAUGGCUGAUUCCAGCCCGGACAGGCGCGAGGAAGGUACCAGAUGAGCUUGGAACAUUUUGUUGUGCCAGAAAAUAAAUACUAAAAACAUUUAUAAGCACAUCAAAGAGCCACUGGAGCCAUCUUGAGGUGGCCAAAUCUGGCACAAUUUGAGCAUUGAAACAAAUAAGGAUAGUGAGUGAUUAUAGCUCAUUGAAUAAAAGAAUCCAUGCAUCCAUACUGUUAACAGAUAUAAACAUACAUGCAGGACUUCCCUGGUGGCACAGUGGUUAAGAAUCCGCCUGCCAUUGCAGGGGACACGGGUUCGAUCCGUGGUCUGGGAAGAGCCCACAUGCCAUGGACCAACUAAGCCCGUGCAACACAAUUAAUAAGCCUGCGCUCUAGAGCCCGCUAGCCACAACUACUGAGCCCGCGUGCCACAGCUACUGAAGCCCACGUGCCCUAGAGCCCACACUCCACAACAGAGUAGCCCCCGCUCGCUGCAGCUAGAGAAAGCCCGCUUGCAGCAACGAAGAUCCAAUGCAGCCAAAAGUAAAAUUAAAUAAAUAAAUAGUGCAUACACUGCUAAAAAGAAGAAACGUAGAAAUGACUGUGUUUUUCAAAAAUGUCCAUGGCAUGAAAGGCAAAGAAAGGUUGAGGAACUGCUCCAGAUUAAAGGAGGCUAAAAGUGACUAACAACUAGAUGAAAUACUUGAUCCUGGCCUAAAUCCAGAACAAAAUUGCUAUAAAAGACAUUGUGGGAAACUUGAUGAAUUUGGAAUAUAGACUAUGAAGUAUUACAUCCAUGAUAAAUUUCUUGAAUGUGCUAACUCUGUAGAUGUGUAGGAGUAUAUUCUUAGUAAUUAUACACCAAAGUAUUAUGGGGCAAAGGAACAUGAUAUAUGCAGCCUACUAUUAAAUAGUUCAAGUUACAUAUAUUCUUUAUACACCCACAGAGAAAAUGAUGAAGCAAAUUGGCAAAAUAUUAGUUGUUUGUGAAUCUUGGUAAAUGUUAUACUAUAGUUCUAGGUAGUAGCCUUUCAACUUACCUGUAAAUUUGAAAUUUAAAAAAAAAAUUUUUUUUUUGACACUCAGUUUGUGGGAUCUUAGUUCCCCAGCCAGGGAUUGAACCCCGGCCCUCGGCAGUGAGAGCACCGAGUCCUAACCACUGGACCACCAGGGAAUUCCCUGAAAUUAUUUUUUUAAAAUAAGGAAUUAACAUGUAAUUAAAUAAGUUAAAAUUAUUUGAUACCUCUAAAGUUAAGGAAAGGAAUAAACCACCUAAUUAUAUUUACUAAACACUCAUAAACUCGUUGAUAAAUUAGGUGAAGAGUUUUUAGCUCUUGAGAGUACCCUUAGGCAGUACCCCAGUGUUCACUGCAAAGUAAUCCCACUUUGAGGUUCAGGUGUUACUAGACUCCAUUGAUACAAAGAGGCCACAUUCCUCACUUAAGACAUGUUAAGAGAGAGUGGCUGGAACAGCAAGAGACAUUCGUUAUGAUGAAGCCCAGCUCUACGACAUCUCCCCGACAGAUAUCCCACAGGGGCAGUUUUCCUUCACAAAGGCCUGCACGGUAGCAGAAAGAAUAGAGAGUCUGUGCCGGGAGACAAGAACUCUAGCUCUGCUUUUGUCUCUUAUUAGCUCUACCGACGAGGGCAAGUGAUUGGACUUCUGGGGCCCCAGUCUGAAUCUGUAAAAGGAGGGGCUGGAUUAGAGGAAGGAUCCCAUACUCAAAUUCCUGCAUGAGACGGGUAAUAAAAUAGGGUGAAACAAAGAGGCACCGUGAAACUGGAGAGCAUGUGCCCUAUCUAAAAGGGGUGCCUGCUUCUCAGCUCCAACCAACGAAUGCCAGGCAGGGAUGUGUCCCAGUGUUGCCAGAGAUCUUGAUUUAAAAAAAAAAAAGAAGCAGCAGCCAGAAGUUUGGAUUUUUAAAAGUAGAAAUCUCCCAAUUUUUCUCUUCUUUUUCGGGGGAAAUAUUUUGUGUGCCAAACAAUGUAUGUGUGCAAGCCACAGUGUGCAGCCAUCAGGUUGGAUGAACCCCAGUGUCUGCUGUCCUCCUUCACCAAAGUCUUUCCAAUGCCGCUCAUGCUAUCCAAAUAUGGUAUGAAGACCUGCUUCAGCCUUCAUCAGAAGAAGGUUUGCUCAAACUCCUGCUGAAGUCUUGAAAACUUUUGAAUCUGACCUUAUUUUCAUAAAAGACUAUUGUUUCAGCUAGAUUUGUACAACUGAGAAAUUCUGUGAACUCUUGAGAAUUUUGAGAAAAACUUGUGAAGUUGAGCUUUUCACAAAAACUGAACGGCGUGGGACUUCUCUGGUGGUCCAGUGGUAAAGAAUCUGCCUUCCAAUGCAGGGGACGGGACUUAGAACCCUGGUCAGGGAACUAAGAUCCCACAUGCCGUGGGGCAACUAAGUCUAUGCGCCACAACUACUGAGCUCGCGUGCCUCAGCUAGUGUGCCUGCAUGCCGCAAACUACAGAGCCCACGUGCUCUGGAGCCUGCACGCCACAACUAGAGAAGAGAAAACCCACACGCCACAACUGGAGAGAAGCCAGCAAGCCACAACAAAGAGCCUGAGUGCCGCAACUAAAACCUGACACAGCCAAAAUAAAUAA